rnacentral:rRNA from 1 species
UGGGGAAUAUUGGACAAUGGGGGGAACCCUGAUCCAGCCAUGCCGCGUGUGUGAAGAAGGCCUUAUGUUUGUAAAGCACUUUAAGCGAGGAGGAGGGUACUGGUAUUAAUACUACCAGGUACUGGACGUUACUCGCAGAUUACGCACCGGCUAACUCUGUGCCAGCAGCCGCGGUAAUACAGAGGGUGCAAGCGUUAAUCGGAUUUACUGGGCGUAAAGCGCGCGUAGGCGGCUAAUUGAGUCGGAUGUGAAAUCCCCGAGCUUAACUUGGGAAUUGCAUUCGAUACUGGUUAGAUAGAGUGUGGGAGAGGAUGGUAGAAUUCCAGGUGUAGCGGUGAAAUGCGUAGAGAUCUGGAGGAAUACCGAUGGCGAAGGCAGCCAUCUGGCCUAACACUGACGCUGAGGUACGAAAGCAUGGGGAGCAAACAGG